CAAGUCGAACGAAGCACUUUAUUUGAUUUCCUUCGGGAUUGAUUAUUUUGUGACUGAGUGGCGGACGGGUGAGUAACGCGUGGGUAACCUGCCUUGUACAGGGGGAUAACAGUUGGAAACGGCUGCUAAUACCGCAUAAGCGCACGGCAUCGCAUGAUGCAGUGUGAAAAACUCCGGUGGUAUAAGAUGGACCCGCGUUGGAUUAGCUAGUUGGUGAGGUAACGGCCCACCAAGGCGACGAUCCAUAGCCGACCUGAGAGGGUGACCGGCCACAUUGGGACUGAGACACGGCCCAAACUCCUACGGGAGGCAGCAGUGGGGAAUAUUGCACAAUGGGCGAAAGCCUGAUGCAGCGACGCCGCGUGAGCGAAGAAGUAUUUCGGUAUGUAAAGCUCUAUCAGCAGGGAAGAUAAUGACGGUACCUGACUAAGAAGCACCGGCUAAAUACGUGCCAGCAGCCGCGGUAAUACGUAUGGUGCAAGCGUUAUCCGGAUUUACUGGGUGUAAAGGGAGCGCAGGCGGUGCGGCAAGUCUGAUGUGAAAGCCCGGGGCUCAACCCUGGUACUGCAUUGGAAACUGUCGUACUAGAGUGUCGGAGGGGUAAGCGGAAUUCCUAGUGUAGCGGUGAAAUGCGUAGAUAUUAGGAGGAACACCAGUGGCGAAGGCGGCUUACUGGACGAUAACUGACGCUGAGGCUCGAAAGCGUGGGGAG
rnacentral:rRNA from 1 species